UACGAAGGGGGCUAGCGUUGUUCGGAAUCACUGGGCGUAAAGGGCGCGUAGGCGGCCGAUCAAGUCGGGGGUGAAAGCCUGUGGCUCAACCACAGAAUUGCCUUCGAUACUGUUUGGCUUGAGACCGGAAGAGGUUAGUGGAACUGCGAGUGUAGAGGUGAAAUGCGUAGAUAUCGGGAGGAACACCUGAGGCGAAGGCGGCUUACUGGUCCGGUUCUGACGCGUGAGGCGCGAAAAGCGUGGGGAGCAAACAGG
rnacentral:rRNA from 1 species